CCUACGGGAGGCAGCAGUAGGGAAUAUUGCACAAUGGGGGAAACCCUGAAGCAGCAACGCCGCGUGGGGGAAGAAGGUUUUCGUGUUGUAAACCCCUUUUGUUAGAGAAGAUAAUGACGGUAUCUGACGAAUAAGCACCGGCUAACUACGUGCCAGCAGCCGCGGUAAUACGGAGGGUGCAAGCGUUACUCGGAUUCACUGGGCGUAAAGAGCGCGUAGGCGGGAUAGCAAGUCAGAUGUGAAAUCCUAUGGCUUAACCAUAGAACUGCAUUUGAAACUGUUAUUCUAGAGUAUGGGAGAGGUAGGUGGAAUUCUUGGUGUAGGGGUAAAAUCCGUAGAGAUCAAGAGGAAUACUCAUGGCGAAGGCGACCUGCUAGAACAUAACUGACGCUGAGGCGCGAAAGCGUGGGGAGCAAACAGGAUUAGAUACCCCGGUAGUC
rnacentral:rRNA from 1 species